CGCUUCUCUGGAGGGUGUGGCGGAAACUUGAGGCUUGGAGUCCGCGGGACCGGAAGGGGCUCCGUAGCUCGGGGCAGGGUGGGCGCGAGAGAGCCUAGAAGCCCAUGUAGCCGCGAAUCCCGCAGCCCCAGUACACCUCCCUCCGUGCCUCCCCGCCUUUUCUGCAGAGCUCCGCCCUGGAGUGAAGGAGGAGCCGUCACCUGGAGCUCCGAAAAAAGCAGAAGAAGGCGCUUUUUAUUUAGCCAGUGUGACCCCGCCAGGGCCUUCUCGGUUGGAUAAAACUCUGCAAAGACAAUGUCUAGCACUUAUAUCUCCAGUAACUCCUGUCAAGGUUUAUUGUUGCUUGUUCAUCAUUGCAGUCCUGACUACAAGUGUGAUUGCACUUUCUAUUGUUUUGUCAGAAUUUCCUGAAAAGAUACAAAGGCCCUUCUGACCAUUGGAUUGGCCUUAGAAGAGAAUCAUCCCAUCGCAUUUGGAAAUGGACAGACAACAUGGAAUAUAAUAACAUUUUUCACACAUUUACAAAACAAUUUGGGAGGAGGCUGGAAAUCAUCUUGACUGAAGACCACCAAUGGCAGCAGUUCAUUUGGGUACAGCAGCAAGCAUCAGUUAAAUACCUAUCAACAUAGCUGGGCUUGGCUUGCUAUCAGAGGAAGUGGAGAAUGUGCCUUCCUGAAUGACAAUGGAGUCAACAGUGGCAGAAUCUACAUGAACAGAAAAUGGAUUUGUAGCAAGCCAAACAAUUAUGUCUACAGUUGCCAGUUAUGUCCCCACUGGGAUACUACCUAGUAGAGCUGUGAGAAGA
rnacentral:lncRNA from 1 species